GGCGGCUCGAGCGUUAAUCGGCCCUAAGAAUUUGGGAGUGGUUGUACAUAGCCCCACUGCGACCUGGCUUUCAGUUCCAUUGCAAGCGAACGCGUCUCCAAAGUAUGCCUGUAAUAAUCUAUCCGGAGCCGCAGUUUUCGAGACCCUGUCACCGAAUCGGGUAGCGUAUGAAGUUGUGAACCAUUUUAGGAAGUGAGCGGAGCGGUUUCGGCGCCAAGACGAAUGGGAAUCCGGUGGUGCCAUACCAUGCCCAGGCAAUGCCUGACAGCGCUCGCUUCCUUCACCACCACCACCAACGUCGUCCACGUCACCAUUAUCGUCAUUCUAAUUUAUGCCUACUGCAGGACAGAGGUCUGUACGAGCGAUCUGCACUUAUCGCUUCAUGGCUGGCCUUCAUGGGGGUCCUUCACAGAACUUCCGGUUCACCUCCUGAGACGACCGGAGAGGAAAUUCAGAACAAACCAGAAAAAAAUGGCUGUGUCUUAGGUAAGGUUAAGCCCAGGAUGCGAAGCAUACUAGCCUUUAUUUUAGUUGUUGAACCACUGUUUAGCCUGGUGAACUGCUGUUGCUUGGCUAUAUUUGGUUCGGCUAGACGAAGAAACAACUCAUGCAUUACUGCUUCGCCUUCAAGAGUGGAACGCGACAGCGUUCCCGUCGACCCGCCAAGGGGUGUAAGACAAUGGGCUACAGGGCAGCGACUACGCGCCCCGCAUUGGACGCGGUGAGCGUCGAGCAAAGCAGCGUUCGGCGCGGCAACGAAAUGUGCGCCUGAGCAAGAGACGCACGCCUUAGAAACAGCGCGUUUCUAAGGCAACACCGCAUUCACUAGAGGCGCUUUUGUACCGCUUUGAAGCGUUGUACUCGUGGCUCAGUGGUAGCGUCUCCGUCCCACACUCCGGAGACCCUGGUUCGAUUCCCACCCAGCCCGUCUUGCAAGAGUUGAGCCAAAGCCACUUCUCCUCUGUCGUGACGUCACGGUGUCACGUGAUUUCAUGGUCACCGCCGCGCCUGAGGAGCUGGGU